AACGAACGCUGGCGGCAUGCCUAACACAUGCAAGUCGAACGAACCCUUCGGGGUUAGUGGCGCACGGGUGCGUAACGCGUGGGAAUCUGCCCUUUGCUUCGGAAUAACAGUUAGAAAUGACUGCUAAUACCGGAUGAUGUCUUCGGACCAAAGAUUUAUCGGCAAAGGAUGAGCCCGUGUAGGAUUAGGUAGUUGGUGGGGUAAAGGCCUACCAAGCCGACGAUCCUUAGCUGGUCUGAGAGGAUGAUCAGCCACACUGGGACUGAGACACGGCCCAGACUCCUACGGGAGGCAGCAGUGGGGAAUAUUGGACAAUGGACGCAAGUCUGAUCCAGCAAUGCCGCGUGAGUGGUGAAGGCCUUAGGGUUGUAAAGCUCUUUUACCAGGGAUGAUAAUGACAGUACCUGGAGAAUAAGCUCCGGCUAACUCCGUGCCAGCCGCCGCAGUAAGAC
rnacentral:rRNA from 1 species